GUAGGGUGCGAGCGUUAAUCGGAAUUACUGGGCGUAAAGCGUGCGCAGGCGGCGCCGCAAGUCGAGUGUGAAAUCCCCGAGCUUAACUUGGGAAUUGCGCUCGAAACUACGAUGCUGGAGUGUGGCAGAGGGAGGUGGAAUUCCACGUGUAGCGGUGAAAUGCGUAGAGAUGUGGAGGAACACCGAUGGCGAAGGCAGCCUCCUGGGCCAACACUGACGCUCAUGCACGAAAGCGUGGGGAGCAGACAGGAUUAGAUACCCUGGUAGUCCACGCCCUAAACGAUGAUGACUAGUUGUUGGGGGAGUUAAAUCCCUUAGUAACGCAGCUAACGCGUGAAGUCAUCCGCCUGGGGAGUACGGUCGCAAGAUUA
rnacentral:rRNA from 1 species